GCAGCCGCGGUAAUUCCAGCUCCAAUAGCGUAUAUUAAAGUUGUUGCAGUUAAAAAGCUCGUAGUUGGAUCUCGGGUCCGGGCUCGCGGUCCACCUCGCGGUGGUUACUGCCCGUCCCGACCUACCUACCGGUUUCCCCUUGGUGCUCUUAACUGAGUGUCUCGGGUGGCCGGAACGUUUACUUUGAAAAAAUUAGAGUGUUCAAAGCAGGCGCUUCGCCUGAAUAAUGUUGCAUGGAAUAAUGGAAUAGGACCUCGGUUCUAUUUUGUUGGUUUUCGGAACUCGAGGUAAUGAUUAAGAGGGACAGACGGGGGCAUUCGUAUGAUGGUGUUAGAGGUGAAAUUCUUGGAUCGCCGUCAGACGAACUACUGCGAAAGCAUUUGCCAAGAAUGUUUUCAUUAAUCAAGAACGAAAGUCAGAGGUUCGAAGACGAUCAGAUACCGUCCUAGUUCUGACCAUAAACGAUGCCGACUAGCGAUCCGCCGGAGUUGUUUCAAUGACCCGGCGGGCAGCUUCCGGGAAACCAAAGUCUUUGGGUUCCGGGGGAAGUAUGGUUGCAAAGCUGAAACUUAAAGGAAUUGACGGAAGGGCACCACCAGGAGUGGAGCCUGCGGCUUAAUUUGACUCAACACGGGAAAGCUUACCCGGCCCGGACACCGUAAGGAUUGACAGAUUGAGAGCUCUUUCUUGAUUCGGUGGGUGGUGGUGCAUGGCCGUUCUUAGUUGGUGGAGCGAUUUGUCUGGUUAAUUCCGAUAACGAACGAGACUCUAGCCUAUUAAAUAGUUCGCCGAUUUCGAUCUGUCGGCGUUAACUUCUUAGAGGGACAAGUGGCUUUUAGCCACGCGAGAUUGAGCAAUAACAGGUCUGUGAUG
rnacentral:rRNA from 1 species